UCUUGGUCAUUUAGAGGAAGUAAAAGUCGUAACAAGGUUUCCGUAGGUGAACCUGCGGAAGGAUCAUUAUAAAAUUUUUCAUAUAUUAAAUUCAUUUUAAUAUAUAAAAUUUAUACAAAAAUGUAUUCAAAACCCACAACUCUUAUAACCAUAAAAAUAUAUUUAUAAUAUAAAAAAACAACUUUCAACAACGGAUCUCUUGGCUCUCGCAUCGAUGAAGAACGCAGCGAAUUGCGAUAAGUAAUGUGAAUUGCAGAAUUACGUGAAUCAUCGAAUCUUUGAACGCAUAUUGCACUCUCUGGUAAUCCGGGGAGUAUGCCUGUUUGAGGGUCAGUAAAUAAUAAUUAUCAUAAUCUUUUGAUUGUGGAAUUGGGCCUUUAUUUCAUUAAUGAUUUAUGGCCUCAAAUUUACGUUACCGCUUGUUUAAUAUGAAAUUCGACCGAAUGGAGCAAUUAAACAUUCUCUCGUUAGGCGGAUUCCAAUCAAGCAAUUACGAUUUUUUGGCCACCGAAGCACUUUUCUACAAGUGCUUGGCCGAGAUCGUGAGUUUUUUAACAAAUGACCUCAAAUCAGGCAAGAAUACCCGCUGAACUUAAGCAUAUCAAUAAGCGGAGGA
rnacentral:rRNA from 1 species